rnacentral:rRNA from 1 species
AGGACGAACGCUGGCGGCGUGCUUAACACAUGCAAGUCGAACGGUGACCUCGAGAGCUUGCUCUUGGGUGAUCAGUGGCGAACGGGUGAGUAACACGUGAGUAACCUGCCCCAGACUCUGGAAUAACCCCGGGAAACCGGAGCUAAUACCGGAUACGAGACGGAGCCACAUGGCUACCGUUUGGAAAGUUUUCGGUCUGGGAUGGACUCGCGGCCUAUCAGCUAGUUGGUGAGGUAACGGCUCACCAAGGCGACGACGGGUA